UUCUGUAGGGAUUUUCUGCAUGCUACCAGAACAUUUUCAGCAGUUCAGUGAGGAGACAAAGCAGUUGACAGUGUUUUUAGCCCACUUGAGCAGCUGGUUAGCCUCUGAUGGUCAGCGUUCUUAACCAAUACCCGACCGACUAACGUCAUUUUUGGACAGAGUGAAAAGAUGACCCCAGAAACAACUGAAAAUGUUGAAACACCCUUGAGUUCCCCUUUAAAAUGUAUUUUUACCCAGUUUAGCGCCUUACAACUCACCAGUCCUUUUUUAAUUCAUUCGCGUUUAAGGGUGUAAAAGUCACAGCCUUAAACUGGACAUAAGGAUUGUUGCACACAAACAUGUGCAGGGAUCAUUAAUUGUGCACUGCUGCCCGGUCGGUGUUGUCAGGACAUUGCUGGAGCUGAACAGUCCAGCUCUGAGGAGGAGACCACUGUCACCACGCGGGUGUACCGCCGGCUGGUCAUACUGAAGGGAGAGGAGGCCCGAAAUGCUCCCGCAGAGUCUGUGACAGAGGAGCAGUUUACAGACGAAGACGGAAAUCUGGUCACCAGAAAAGUAACCAUCGCUCUCCUCCUCCUUCUCCUUCAUCUGUCUCAUCUUCAUCCCGC